GCGCACCAGUCGAGAAACUUCGCAAUGCGCGAAAGCGCGACGAGGGGAUUCCAAGUGCAUGCACUAAGUGUAUGCUUUUCGUGAGUUUAAAACGCUCACGGAAUAAGGGCUGGGUAAGACUGGUGCCAGCCGCCGCGGUAAUACCAGCGGCCCUAGUGGUGAUCGUUAUUAUUGGGCCUAAAGCGUCCGUAGCCGGUCCGGUAAAUCUCUGGGUAAAUCGUUGGGCUUAACUCAGCGAAUUCUGGGGAGACUGCUGGACUUGGGACCGGGAGAGGUCGGAGGUACUCCAGGGGUAGGGGUGAAAUCCUGUAAUCCUUGGGGGACCACCGGUGGCGAAGGCGUCCGACCAGAACGGGUCCGACGGUAAGGGACGAAGCCCUGGGGCGCGAACCGGAUUAGAUACCCGCGUAGU
rnacentral:rRNA from 1 species